rnacentral:misc_RNA from 1 species
ACAAUAACAUCUAUCAGCUAACAGUUAGUGUAUUCAGCAGUUAAAUUAAACAGGCUUUAAAUCCAAUGAAAUGUCCGCCCCUAUGUUUAUCAUAUGAUACUUCAUUUCUAAUGCCAGCUUAUGUUUUAGCAGAUAACACAAAAACAAAAUCAAUAGAUUCAAUUUCCAGCAAUCACACCUGCAUCUUAUUUAUCACAUUGAUUUCUGCAGCCAGUGAUAAAGACUAACUUACAGAAACCAACGAGCUCUUUCCCAGUAGGAAUCAAUUGUACUAAAAAAGAACUUACAGAACUAUUCUCUUAGAACAUCCACACAUACUGAUACUGGUCUAAAUGUUGCAAAAAUUCAAUAUAGUAGACGCUAGACAUUGAAUCAUCUGAAUGCUGAUUGUGGAGAUUAUCUGGGAUCAUCAAUCAUUGAUCGGGAGAAAAUGGGCAUCGAAUCUGUUUCAUCAUCAUCUCCGACAAAUAUUUCUUCAUUGGAGGCGCUAUUAUAAUGGGUCAUUACAAAAUUCGAUGAAACGUCUGUUGUGCUAUCCUCGUGUGGUUCUCUGGGCACUGGAGUUUGUUGUAGCUGAAGUGCAUAUUCCAAGUCCCAGCACACAUCAAGCAUUGUAGGCCUGCCAGCUCCUUCUACCUUCAAGCACUUCUCAGUUAUUUCUCCAAACUUUCUCAGCGAGUUAGGAUUAAUCUGACCAGCCAAUGAAGAAUCAAUAAUUUUUUCUAGUUGCCCUUUCUUUUGCCAGAACAUUCCCCAUUCAGCCAAGUUUAUUUCCUCCCUCCUAGAGGAAUUCACAAUAGGCGGUCGAGCACAAAGCACUUCAAGAAGCACCACUCCAAAAGAGUAUACAUCAGACUUCUCUGUUAACCGAAGAGUUCUAACAUAUUCAGGAUCAAGAUAACCGAAGCUACCUAUCAGACUCAUUCUGUAUUGGUUUGGAUCUGGAGGACCUGAUUGCGAAAGACCAAAAUCAGCAACUUUUGCCACAUAAUGUUCAUCAAGUAAGAUGUUUGUUGAUUUAACAUCCCGGUGAAUGAUUCCCCAAUCUGAACCAGUGUGAAGGUAAUGGAGACCCUUAGCUGCACCGAUACAGAUUUCAAGCCUCUGCUUCCAAGUCAAAACAGGUUGUGUAGAUUCACUCUUUGAGUUCUCUUUCCAGAUGUAUAGGUGGUCUCUCAGAGUACCCUUUUCCAUGAAUUCAUAAACCAGAAUCAUUUCAGAUCCUUCAUAGCAGUACCCAAUCAAGGAAACAAGG